UACGGGGGGGGCAAGCGUUGUUCGGAAUUACUGGGCGUAAAGGGCGCGUAGGCGGCCCGCUUAGUCGGACGUGAAAUCCCUCGGCUCAACCGAGGAACUGCGUCCGAUACUGGCGGGCUCGAAUCCGGGAGAGGGAUGUGGAAUUCCAGGUGUAGAGGUGAAAUUCGUAGAUAUUGGGAGGAACACCGGUGGCGAAGGCGACCACCUGGACAGAGAUUGACGCUGAGGCGCGAGAGCGUGGGGAGCAAACAGG
rnacentral:rRNA from 1 species